UGGGGAAUAUUGGACAAUGGGGGCAACCCUGAUCCAGCAAUGCCGCGUGUGUGAAGAAGGUUUUCGGAUUGUAAAGCACUUUCGACGGGGACGAUGAUGACGGUACCCGUAGAAGAAGCCCCGGCUAACUUCGUGCCAGCAGCCGCGGUAAUACGAAGGGGGCUAGCGUUGCUCGGAAUGACUGGGCGUAAAGGGCGUGUAGGCGGUUUGUACAGUCAGAUGUGAAAUCCCCGGGCUUAACCUGGGAGCUGCAUUUGAUACGUGCAGACUAGAGUGUGAGAGAGGGUUGUGGAAUUCCCAGUGUAGAGGUGAAAUUCGUAGAUAUUGGGAAGAACACCGGUGGCGAAGGCGGCAACCUGGCUCAUAACUGACGCUGAGGCGCGAAAGCGUGGGGGAGCAAACAGGAUUAG
rnacentral:rRNA from 1 species